rnacentral:rRNA from 1 species
UGAGGAAUAUUGGUCAAUGGGCGGGAAGCCUGAACCAGCCAAGUCGCGUGAGGGAAGACGGCCCUACGGGUUGUAAACCUCUUUUGCCGGGGAGCAAUGCCCAGCUCGCGAGCUGGGAAGGAGAGUACCCGGAGAAAAAGCAUCGGCUAACUCCGUGCC